UGGGGAAUAUUGGACAAUGGGGGGAACCCUGAUCCAGCCAUGCCGCGUGUGUGAAGAAGGCCUUAUGGUUGUAAAGCACUUUAAGCGAGGAGGAGGGUACUGGUAUUAAUACUACCAGGUACUGGACGUUACUCGCAGAAUUAGCACCGGCUAACUCUGUGCCAGCAGCCGCGGUAAUACAGAGGGUGCGAGCGUUAAUCGGAUUUACUGGGCGUAAAGCGUGCGUAGGCGGCUAAUUGAGUCGGAUGUGAAAUCCCCGAGCUUAACUUGGGAAUUGCAUUCGAUACUGGUUAGCUAGAGUGUGGGAGAGGAUGGUAGAAUUCCAGGUGUAGCGGUGAAAUGCGUAGAGAUCUGGAGGAAUACCGAUGGCGAAGGCAGCCAUCUGGCCUAACACUGACGCUGAGGUACGAAAGCAUGGGGAGCAAACAGG
rnacentral:rRNA from 1 species